GUAGGAGGAGAGCAGUGUAAACCAGUCAUUGAUAUUUCCUUGAAUUCUAUUUCUUCCUCAUUUUGCAGGUUUGCAGAACAUGCUUCCCCAGCAAGUAGGAUAUUCCAUCGUUGGCAUGCAUGGAACUGUAUUUUUUGGAAGAAGAAAACAAAGCUUUAGUAAAUGCUGGCAGUGUGCAAAUUGUAUUGCAGAAAGAGCUCUCUCUGAGAGGCAAAUGUACCCAACAGUAAGGAGGUGUUUCUGAAAAUGAAAUUCAUACAAAACAUCUGAAAGCUGGUGGUCUUUGGAGGUUGAUGUUGUGAUGUAAAGAAGCACUUAAAGAAGAGUCCUUCAAAAGACAAGAGGUAGUAGAGUUUCACCAAGUGUGUUUUAUCUGCCCUUAACCAAGUCAUCAAGUGAGAAUGUGUACAAGACAACCUUUGAGAGAGUUUUGCAGGAAUAGGAGAAGAUUUCAUGACUGGAAAUAGAUCCUAAGAAGUUUCCAGAGCUUUCUCAAUGGAUUUGUAAGCUAUUCAUGUAUUUCUCAAAUAAUCUUCCCUAAUAUAUAAACCCUGUUUCUUGGUCAUAGUAUUUUGAGUUUGAGAAAAGACAGACCACAUCAAAACAGAGUACCUUUAAUUGGUCUGAAGUAGGCAGGAAUGUCUUUUGAGCUAUGAAAUAUUUAAGUCAGAAGCUACCAAAUAAUGGUGUUACACCAUAAUAAGCAAUUAAAAUAGAACUGAUGUUUUGCAUGCUGGUAAAUGUAAUGAUCACGCUUUGCUCCCUGCAGCUCCUUUAAGAAGGUGGAGUAGCUUCCUGAAGAAGAAUUCAGAGGACUCGGCUUAUUGGUCRGUUGU
rnacentral:lncRNA from 1 species